AUUGAACGCUGGCGGCAGGCCUAACACAUGCAAGUCGAGCGAGCGGCGGACGGGUGAGUAAUGUCUGGGAAACUGCCUGAUGGAGGGGGAUAACUACUGGAAACGGUAGCUAAUACCGCAUACCAUCAGAUGUGCCCAGAUGGGAUUAGCGGGUAGGUGGGGUAACGGCUCACCUAGGCGACGAUCCCUAGCUGGGCUGAGAGGAUGACCAGCCACACGGGAAAUUAGAGCCUGUCCAGACUCAUACGGGAGGCAGCAGUGGGGAAGAGUGCACAAUGGGCGCAAGCCUGAUGCAGCCAUGCCGCGUGUGUGAAGAAGGCCUGCGGGUUGUAAAGCACUUUCAGCGGUGAGGCGUUACCCGCAGAAGAAGCACCGGCUAACUCCGUGACAGCAGCCGCGGUAAUUC
rnacentral:rRNA from 1 species